UCCGUAGGGUGCGAGCGUUGUCCGGAAUUAUUGGGCGUAAAGAGCUCGUAGGCGGUUUGUUGCGUCGGCCGUGAAAACCUGCAGCUUAACUGUGGGCCUGCGGCCGAUACGGGCAGACUUGAGUUCGGUAGGGGAGACUGGAAUUCCUGGUGUAGCGGUGAAAUGCGCAGAUAUCAGGAGGAACACCAGUGGCGAAGGCGGCUCACUGGCCCGAUACUGACGCUGAGGCACGAAAGCGUGGGGAGCAAACAGG
rnacentral:rRNA from 1 species